rnacentral:rRNA from 1 species
UACGGGGAGAACGAGCGUUAUUCGUCAUAACUGGGCGUAAAGGGUUCGUAGGCAGUUUAGAAAAUUUGUUAUGAAAUACCUAAUAUCUCAAGUAAGGAGUUUUAACAAAGUACUAAUAAACUAGAAGUAGAUUAUAAGAUAAUGGUACUCUUGAUGGAGGGGCAACAUCCUUAGAUAUUGAUGGGGACCACCGCUUGGCGAAGGCGAUUAUCUAGUGUUUUACUGACGCUGAGGGACGAAAGCAUGGGGAGCAAACGGA